rnacentral:rRNA from 1 species
UAUCAGUCAUGCAUAGCAUAUCAAUAAGCGGAGGAAAAGAAACUAACAAGGAUUCCCUUAGUAACGGCGAGUGAAGCGGGAAGAGCUCAAAUUUGAAAUCUUCAAGGUUUUACCUUGACGUAUUGUAGUUUAAAGAAGUGUUUUCUGUUGAAGUUUUGGUAAAAGUUCUUUGGAAUAGGACAUCAUAGAGGGUGAGAAUCCCGUAUUUGACCAUUACUUUCAGCUUUGUGAUACACUUUCAAAGAGUCGGAUUGUUUGGGAAUGCAGUCCAAAAUGGGUGGUAAAUUUCAUCUAAAGCUAAAUAUUGGCGAGAGACCGAUAGCGAACAAGUACCGUGAGGGAAAGAUGAAAAGAACUUUGAAAAGAGAGUUAAACAGUACGUGAAAUUGUCAAAAGGGGAAGCGUUUGACACCAGUGUUGUUUUCUCGAAAAUCAAUUAAAAAGAGUUGGAUUUUGUGUUGUAUUGACUUUAUCAGCUUUCUUCACUCUUUUCCAGCUUUUUUUAAUGCACUUUUCGUUUAACAAGUCAACAUCAGUUUCUUUUGUUGUAAAAAGGUCAUUGGAAGGUGGCUUUCUCUUCGGAGAAAGUGUUUAUAGCCUUUGACUCAUGCAAUCGGAGAGACUGAGGUCUGCUAGCGUAGAUCCUUCGGGGUUAGAUACAUUUGUGCUAAGUUAUAGCUUUUCAUAGACAACUUGUUGACUAUGUUUAGUCUUGUAGCUUACUCGCUUAUGCUAUUUUACCUACGCUUAGGAUGUUGAACUCUAUCACACACAG